rnacentral:rRNA from 1 species
AGCCUAUGUGGGAUUAGCUAGUUGGUGAGGUAAUGGCUCACCAAGGCGACGAUCUCUAGCUGGUUUGAGAGGAUGAUCAGCCACACUGGGACUGAGACACGGCCCAGACUCCUACGGGAGGCAGCAGUGGGGAAUAUUGGACAAUGGGCGCAAGCCUGAUCCAGCAAUACCGCGUGUGUGAAGAAGGCCCUAGGGUUGUA